ACCCAUCUCCCCCAGACCCCCACCCCCGUACCUCUUCCCAACCGCAGCCGCCGAUUCAGCCAGAAGUCGCCAAUCUGCUCUUCCACUCCUUUAUCCUCAUCAUAUCGCCGCAAAGAUCUCCUCUCCCACUCUCGUUCCCUUGCUACGGUGCAGAUCUCAUCCGUACUACAGCCACAACGCCGUGGACACUGGACACCACCACCACAUCCUUGGCGGCACUCCCUUCUGCUGGUGGCAGCUCAACGAUUGCUUGCUACCGUUGUGGCACUGGCGGUUUAUGAUGCUGCUGGGUCACCGUUGUGGCGCCGCCGACGAACCGCGAGCCCGUACACCGGCGUUGUCCCCUCCGCGUGGGCCGACCUAGACGGAAGGCAACGGAUCCAGCACCUUUCACCUCCAACGGCGCGGCCUCCUCAACUGAGCGGCGACGGCUGGACCUCCUCCGACUAGGUGCUUGGUGAGGAGCUCGAUGCGGGAGGGCGACCUGCAGCAGCGUCGGCGACAGCGACAGACGACUCCCUUACCCUUGCACCCCAUCUUCUCCAUGUAUCAUGCACUCUCGCACCGCUUGGUGAGGAGCUCGAUGCGGGAGGGCGACCUGCAGCAGCGUCCGCGGCAGCGACAGACGACUCCCUUACCCUUGCACCCCAUCUUCUCCCUGUAUCAUGCACUCUCGCACCGGGGCACACCAUCUUUGUCCUCUCUAAUGGCUCCUCCCCCAUCACUACUACUACACCGGUGUCAUGCUAGCCAAGAUUGUCGCCGGGGCCAACAUAAGAGUAAGAGUUCAUGACACAUACGAGUUCUAAAAUUACUGGUCUCAAUGUUUAGUGCACCUAAAACUGCUUUGGUGCAGUAGAAAGAAUGAGAAAUAUAGGGCCCAGCGGAGCAAAGGAAAAGUGUAACAGAAAUUAGAGAGUUGGAGGGUUCUCAGACUAUCAGAGAUUGAAAAGCCCCAAGGAUAAGAAGCAUUUGGAGCUGCAAAAAUGUGACAUAUAUUUCUUUAAAUAUUCACAUCAUGUAUUGUGACCGAUUUUUCUUUUUGAAGGAACCAGGGAUUAAUUACAAUUGGAAAAUGUGACAUAUAUUUCUUGAAAUAUUCACAUCAUGUACUGUGACUGAUUUUUCUUUUUGAAUGAACCGGGGACUAAUUACAAUUGGAUGUAAUCUCGACAUAUAGCUACGCCAACAGAGGUUGUUGGAUGUCAACAUCUAAUCACAACAUCUUUGUAUUUAUUACAAACUCUAAUUUUCUUGGAUUUACUAGCAUUUUCAUGGAAAGACAAUACAGUAUUUGUUUCCAAUGGUAUCAAUUUGUAUCACUGUUGUUGUAUUCCAUCUUGACUAGAGAUUAUGCUAGAAUGAGUGAACUGCUACCAUCCGACAAUGUGAAGGUGAGACUUGUUUCUUUGUUUUUGAGGUGUUAUGUAAAAAUUAUCAUGACAUGCGAAAUCUGAAUCUGGACAGUCUUUUAUUCGUGCAACUGAAGUAUGUGUGUACGGUGCCUUUUUGAAUUGCCAUGAAACUUGUACAAAGCGUCUAUGAAAAAAAUGUCAUUUCUGCUGAGUAGUACUGUAUCAACCAAAUCCGAAAAUAGUCAUUGGAAAUGAUAAGUGCUUCACGAAGGCUGCAACAUAUUGUAUCAAGUAGGAACUCGAUGCUUGAUUGGCAAAAUUAUGAAGUUUGUGCCAUAAAUGUAGAUUGUACUGAAGGUUUCAUGUUUGUGGCUCAGAUUUUUGAAUUUUUCACAAGUUCAGUAGCAAACAUGCGUGUACAAAAGUGUUUAAAUGGCUGUCUGGAUCAGUGCAUGACCAUGUAGAUGUAUCACUUAGCCUUUUGGUUUUAAAUGCACGUAUAGAAUAAGCUGGUAAGAUAUGAACACCUAUUUUUAUUAACAUGUUUACUUAGAAGUUCUCAUGAAGUUUGAGAAAUCUUCAUGAGAAUUGGUCUGACUAUGUAAUUAGAGACGCCAUAAUGAGCCGAUGUUACAUGUAAGAUAUUGAGGUAGUA